UUCCGCUUGCAGCAUCAGCGCCCAAGGCACCCGACAACAGUGGACUCAUCAGCAACCUCGAAAACAUCCAAGCUUCUCCUGGAUUACUAAGACAGAGAGCCAUUCCGCUCCAUCAGACGUUCCAGCCGAGCUUCAGCCCACAGGCCCGAACUCUCUGGCAAGUCAUGACAAUGGCCACUACCCUGCUCCACUCUCUGUAAUGGAUUCCACGUGGCUCCAUCACUCUCUGGCAAGUCACGACAAC
rnacentral:lncRNA from 1 species